GGAUGCGAUCAUACCAGCACUGAAGCACCGGAUCCCAUUAGAACUCCGAAGUUAAGCGUGCUUGGGCGAGAGUAGUACUAGGAUGGGUGACCUCUUGGGAAGUCCUCGUGUUGCAUUCC
rnacentral:rRNA from 1 species